AUCAUCUUCUGGCUAUUUUAUUUCUUCUUUAAAUUCAUCAAACCAAUGUGCUUCCUUGUAGAAGCUAUUAGCUCGUUUGCAUUAUGAUCUUUGAUGAAGUCUGAUCUACUGUGAAGAAGAAGACAUAGUAGAGCGUAAAGUCAAGCAUACCGCUGCCGAUUGUAAAUCCAUUUCCGUCGUCUAAGUCCGAUGAGUUAGUUCGAGGAUUAGGUUGCCGAUUACAACUCCAUCAAUUUCUUUCUCUAACUGAGGUCGCAGACUCAAGGCCUGGUACCAAGAUUACGAUCUAGAUGCAGAAGCUUGGAAGGAGUAUAUUCUAGAUUUCAAGGAAAUCUUGUGGUCCUGUUCAGCCGCCUAGAAGCAAGAUAUCAAUGAUUUCCCUGCCAAAUUCCAAUUAAUCGACAUACGAUGUGAGUAAUAUUCACGAUGAUCUUUGCACUUGUAGUUUCAGUUAACUCGUGCAAAUUAUCCAUGGAUGGAGAUGGAAGUUGUAAAAAUUGCACUGAUGGAUGGAAAUUUAAUGCCCCAACUCCUGCUCAGGCUGAAAAUGUUGAGUUGCUGUUAAUUAAUUCCUUGGUCUUGUGAUUUUGUUUCAAACUACUAAUGUAAAUAUUUACGUGUAAGAUAUAUUUGAUCAUAUGAAAUACAAAGUGCAAAAUAUGUUUUUUAU